rnacentral:piRNA from 1 species
UGCGAGCAAAUUUAAUAUUCA